ensembl:lncRNA
GGCGGCUCCCGGGAGGCAGGGCUUCCAGGGUUCAAAACCGGGCAGUCCUGGGCCAGCCAGACGGACCGCGGGCCGGACAGACAGUGCGGCUUUGGGGAAGCAGCACCUAAGACAGGCCGAGAAGGAGGCUCCGGAAUUCCCUCACGGGAGGAUAUUAAGGUGCGCAGGGCCGCGCAUCUGCCGGCAGCAGAGGAAACUGAGGCACCGCGAAGGCCGCGGCGGAGUCUGUCGCCCGACCCUGCCGCUCCUUUGUCCCGGGGUCCUCCCCCGGUUCCGCACCGCCCCUGCCCCGUUCCUCCCCCUCCCCCAGCGGGCGCGGCUGACGCGGCCUGGGAGGAAUGCGCUUCCGGAGGGAGAGGGCGGCGGCUGCGGCCUGAGGAGCGGGAUCGCCGCGCCUGGAAGGCGGUGCCGCGGGGGUCGUUUCCUGCCGGGAGGCGGCCCCACGCCGCUGAGUCUCCUCCUCCCGCCCGAGAGGAGGAGGCGGAGCCGCCGCCGCCGCCGCCGCGCCCGAGCCCGGGAGGCCAAGCCAGCCCUGGGGACAGGCCGAGCGGGAGCCGCGGAGCACAGGCCGAGCUGACCGCGCGGGCCGGACGCCGCGGGAGAAGGGCACAGAGCCUGACAAGAGUUGGCUGAGGAAGAACGUCCAGAAGGUAGGGGAGAAGCCAGUAAAGUUCGCGGGAAUAGAGCAUGCUAAGAAAGAACAGCGAGGUGUAGUCAGUGUUGCUGUGUCAAUUCUUUGGGUGGUAAACUGAUGUAUGCCCCCAGGCACGUAUUGUAGGCAGGCACUAAAGUUUUGAAUGAAUGAAUGAAUGGCUGCAGAGAGUAGGAUAGGCCUGGGAAGUUUUCUUUUUCUAGAGCAGUUUCACAUGCACGGUGGGAAGCGGACACCCAGUUACACAGGUGGAGGAGGGAGACGGAGACCCAGGUAGACAACUAUUUCUAGACCUUUGGUCAUGAAGACAUGAAAGUUAGGAUGAGGACAGGACCUGAAGGCCUCUCUCCCUGGUGGCCUCGCCUCAGGAACUGUUCUGUGUGGGGUGCUCUCGGGGGGAGACUCCGCGGGGCACCUUUCUCAGCCUGAGGGUCGCCUGGGGUAUAGGCCCCGCCUCCCGAGAUAGGGGUUUUCAGGCCUGGGGUGCUGCCUCAGGGCGUCCGGAAGUCUCCGGAGCUCUUGGGGUGCCAUCCUUCCUCCCUGCCCCCUGGCCCCACCGCCUCUUUGCUGCCUGCUCUCCUCAGGGCCUCUCCGCUCUUGUCUCUGCCCGGCCGUCCUCGUGGCUUUCCUUUAUCCCUGCUGGCCGCCGUCUUCCGUCUCCUAGGGCUUCUCUGCUUCCCGGGGAGAAAGCCUGGCCUUUGCAGGCCUGGCCACCGUCCUGGCGGGGCUGCUACUGGCCUUGGGCUGCCCUCCACCCUGCUUCUUUCGGUGGCUCUACAGCCCUUGUGCUGCCUGCUUCCUCAGAAGGCUGGUCUUUGGCGCAUCAAGGUUUAUAGAAGGAAAAGAAAAAUGGCAUUAAAGUAGUAUUUUAAAGCUACGGGACCUAAGAAUGUUAGGAAACUUUUUCUGCUACCAAAUAACUUUAUCUUAGUGGUGCUUCUCUGAGUUGUGUAACAUUUUAAAGGUUUCCCAAGGUAGUCUAGUGGUCCUUAAGGUGACCUGAGUUGUAUCCUGAAGACACACGUAUCAGAGUCCAUAUAUGGAACAAAUAUUUGUUCUGUUCUCUUUGUGUAGAAACUGCCCAGAUGCUCCAUUCAUCACAGUCAUGCAUUUCUUCGGGCGUCUUACUGUUCCAGGUCCUUUUAAUCAUAGCUUUGGAAUUGAUAACAUUAUUUGAAUUGUUUAGAAUUAUAGUCUGCCUGGAUUUUUUACACAUUGAACCUUUUAGUCAGGCCUUAAAAGGUAAACUGUCAGGCAUUUCACACUUCAGUGACCCGCAGCUUUUGUUGGCCUUUUGGAUGCAGUCACAAGUAAUAACGUAAGCAAAACUGUGGCAUAACAGAACUGGCUGCUCUGAGCACUGUUGCAAAGUGGAUGACUGUGCAAGUUAUUCAUGCUGCUUUUCUUUGGGAAACCAGAAAAUGUGAGCAGCAUUUGACAGGAAACCCAGUAUCCCAGGGGUGCUCAGAGCAUAACUUUAAAGCAUUUUCUUGGAGCUGUGGGAUUGUAUCCUGGAACAUAAGCCCUUGAAAAUGAGAGGUUUUGAAAGAAAUUUUUUUUUCUUAUUAAAGGAAAUUCACCAAGAAAGAAAAAAAUUCCACACAGUACCCUGCCGUAAUUGUUUUUACUAAGAAAGUGAAAAGAAGAAAACACUAGAACAAUUUAAAAACAAAUGAACCCAUUGUCUUUAUAUUAUGCUUAUAACUCUGUCAUCUCCAGGAUUCUUUGGUUACUUUAUACGUUUAUAUACUGUUAUUUUUACAUACCUGUCAUCUUAAUGUGCUCUUUGCAUCCAGAAGUUAUUCUAUAAACCUUUUGAUGUUACUACAUUUUUUUCUUUUGACUCUAGUAGUCCAUCAAGUUGAUACAGUUAGCCCUUUCCCCAUCAUUCUAGAGGACGUUGGCACUUUUGUCUGUUAUAAACAUGCUAGAGUCUGUACUGAAAGUGUAUGUGCAUGUGUAUCACUUUUUAUAUUUUAAAUUAUUAGGAUGAAUUCCUAGUAGCUCGUUUACUGAGUCAGAGGGUAGAAACAGUUUUAAUGCUUUUUGAUAUAGAUUGUUAAAUUAUUUUCCCCCAAGUUAUACCAGUUUACAGCCAUCUCUGGUCUCUCUUAGCCAUCUGCAGUAAGUCUUUGUUCUGUUGUUUUGUUGGGUUAAAAAACGUUGUUUUUUUUUUUUUUUCCUGCUUGCUGGUUUACCUUACAUUGCUUUAAUUUAUAUCUCUUUGCUAAGUAGUAAAGCCAAACUUCGUUUGGUGGGGGGGUGUUAUAUUUGCUUUUGGUUUUUUUGCAUUCUGUGGAAGGGGCAGGUGUUCAUGCAUAAUUAUUAGACUGGCUGCUAGUCCAAGAGCAGUAAAGGAGUUAAGGGAUAGGGUCAGUGACCUGUGGCUAUAGCCGUCUUUGACCAACUCUGAUAAGGUAUAGAUUAAUGUUGUGAAAACUUUGAUUCACAGAAAACAGUUACAUACCUAAUGGUUGGAGUUUGAGGUAUUCUGCUUAAUAUACAGACUCUUACUUAAUUUUUCUUUAGAGAUUCUAAAAGACACUUAAACCUCUUUCAGGUCUUCUUAUGUCCCUCUCCCCCCACUUUUGUGUAGUUUGUAGAUCUAGAAAUUGUAGGAAAUUGAACUGGAUAUUUUACUAAUACCAUGCACAGAAGUUGAUUUUCUUAAGAAAUAGUUACAGGACAUCAAACUCAAAAAUUGAGUUGGGGCCUUGUGCAGGAUGUUGGUCUUAGCCUUAGAAAAAAUAAAAACUAUUGAAAAGUUGUAAGCAAGGGGAUGACAUGAUCAGGAUUUUGACAGGUUCACUCAAACUAACAUUCAGUGUUGAGGUAACUGAGGCAUAUGGAUAUGCCUGUUUGGCCCCCUAGGAGUCACAGCAGGUAAUAGAGAUUCCAUGGGACAAAGACUUAAUAUUAAUAGCUUUUAGGUGUAGGAAUACUUGACACUUUUUGUUUUGAGCACUGUUAAUUAAAUAUUAAUGUAUAAUUGAUUUGGAGAAAAGUAAGAUUGGAUUCUGGGAAUCUGGAGUGGAAGGUGAGGUAACUGGGGGGAGAGGUGGAUGUUGAGCAUGGAGGAGGGCUGGGGAGGAAGAUGCAUUUACACUUAUAAAUUAGCGGACGAUCAGGUGAGUGGCAAUGAUUAGGCUUUAUAUGUUUUUUUUCCUUAAUAUAACA